rfam:Oryza nivara chromosome 9, whole genome shotgun sequence.
AAAAAGACAAACCCUGAGUUUCCGUGUCUAACGUUUGAUUGUCCGUCUUAUAUGAAAUUUUUUUAUAAUUAGUAUUUUCAUUGUUGUUAGAUGAUAAAACAUGAUUAAUACUUUAUGCGUGACUUAUAUUUUUAAUUUUUUUUCUAAUUUUUUUAAAUAAGACGGACGGUCAAAUGUAGGACACGGAAACUCAGGGUUUGUCUUUUU